rnacentral:rRNA from 1 species
UACGUAGGUGACAAGCGUUGUCCGGAUUUACUGGGCGUAAAGAGCGCGCAGGCGGUCGUUCAAGUCGAGUGUGAAAGCCCCCGGCUCAACUGGGGAGGGUCAUUCGAUACUGGUCGACUUGAAGGCAGGAGAGGGAAGCGGAAUUCCCGGUGUAGUGGUGAAAUGCGUAGAUAUCGGGAGGAACACCAGUGGCGAAGGCGGCUUCCUGGCCUGUUCUUGACGCUGAGGCGCGAAAGCUAGGGGAGCAAACGGG